UCGAGGAUAUCCUGCUCGACGAUGCUCCUCUUCGCCAGCAUCUCUAGCGCGUGGUGAGCUUCCCCUGUCCCCUCCCUUUACUCAUGGUUGCCCGUGCGUUUUGGUUCAGAUUAGGAAUAGGGUACAAUUUAUUUGUAUGCGUAUGGGUACAGAUUAGGAGUAGGAGAUGUAGUUGUGGGCACAGUUUUAGUAAAAUUUCAGUAAACAUAGUGAGCGUGUUUUACUCCAGUAAUCUUGCUUGAAGUAAAUUUCAGUAACUUUAGUAAUCUUGCUUCAAGUACUCUGAAAAUAUGAAAAUAUACUCAGAAAAUGUAUUGCUUGUACUGCUGAUCUUGCAGAUAGGAGGAGAGUUCUUGUACUCACAUCAGCUGUUGAUCUGCAACAACUCUAGGAGUGGGAUUGACAUUGUCAUUGUGGUUUCAGUAGAAAUGACCUUCUUCCUAAUUAGUAACAGAGAUCAAAGUUAAUAUAUUUGUGAUAUUUUCGUG
rnacentral:lncRNA from 1 species